CGAGCGUCUCUACGAAAAGCCCCCAACCCGAUGGAGGAGGAAAACCCCAAUCCCUUGGCGGCAGCGGACGGCUGCGCUCCAUCCAUGACUGCAGCCACGGCAGAGCAAGUUAGCGUGGAGGAGAGAGUCAGGAAACUGCUUGGUAUUGGGAUUAGAAUGUCAAUUUUUGACAGGGACUAUGAAGAAAUGGCUUUUGAAAAGGAGCAUCGUGAUCAAGUGGAGCUAUUUGCCAGAAGUCUACCUUUAGCUAAAGAUGUUUUGGGCACUCCUUUCCAGCAGAAAACAUUCUAUGACGAGACCAGCGCCAAGAGAAAACAUGCUAUUCGCAUGCUCUGGCACAGCUCUACCACGAGGGAGGGAAAGACUGCGCAUUGCAAGAUUUGUGACUUCUGCGCGUUUGAUCACAGAAUUUAACAAAAGAAGAAACAAAGAUGAUAGUUUGAGGAUUCAAGUGCGGCUUCCCAGUGAUAGAAUUACCGACGGGUUCCUGGGACUAUAUGAUGACAAUAUCGCUAUUGUAUCUGCCCUCCUCCCUUGUGUCUAUGUCCCUGUGGAUCUUGAUCUUAGUAAAGAGGAGCGUCGAUGUGUGCCUACCGGCAUGAUAGCAGCUGGGCUUGCGGCCCCACGAAAAUCAUCACCCGGUUUGAUGGUCACAGGAGUGAGCACUCUUAGUAGUCCACGCAAACGUCCUCGCCGCGGUCCUGCCCUCAUGUCAAUUGCUUGUGUUAUCACGGAGGUACGCUGUGGAACUAUAUAUGUCUGCACUGAGGUAAAAAUUUUGUUUUCCCCUUUUAGUCCCUUUCACUUUUCAGGCUGCACUUGGAGGCCCGGUUAUAGCUUUUUGUGCCAAAUUUGAAAUCUUGGCUGGGGUGAUAAUUGGGUUUGACUCUGAAAAGAAAGUUGCCUCUUACCUACCAACCAAGGCACUUCGUCGACGCUUGAAACAUUUUCAGAUACUCACAGAUAAAGCCAUCAGCUUCCAUGGAUAUUCGUUACCUCAUGGUGUAAAUUGUGUAGUCCCUUCAGGAUUUUGGUUUCUUAUUCAGAGGUUCAAAUCCUUGGGCUAGCCACCACCACCACCGCUGGUGUGUGAGU